rnacentral:lncRNA from 1 species
AAAUACUUAGAAACACAAAUCAAAACACUUUCUAACUAAUCUAAGACUUCAAAUUAAAGGGGGAAUUGUUUUGGACUAAAAUUGAAAACAAAACAGAAACUUGAAACUAAACAGAUUGUAAAAACGAUUUUGGUGAAAUAGAUGGUUAAAAAGCUAGUUAGGAGGUUCUUCUCCACACAUGUCACAUUUGCAAACAAAACGAUUUUCAGUUGUUCUUCCGAUAAAUUAUGAAUACUCAACGCCCCAAGUUAACCGUGAAUUGCACUAAUUAACCCUCAGUUUUUCCACGAGUUAUUAAGUUGGAUGAUUGCAUACGACAACCCAAAACAUUCCCUACAAGUUCCCUACAUGAAUUGCAUAAU